rnacentral:rRNA from 1 species
CCUACGGGUGGCAGCAGUGAGGAAUAUUGGUCAAUGGGCGAGAGCCUGAACCAGCCAAGUCGCGUGAGGGAGUACUGCCCUAUGGGUUGUAAACCUCUUUUGUCGGGGAGCAAAAGCCGGACGUGUCCGGCUGUGAGAGUACCCGAAGAAAAAGCAUCGGCUAACUCCGUGCCAGCAGCCGCGGUAAUACGGAGGAUGCGGGCGUUAUCCGGAUUUAUUGGGUUUAAAGGGUGCGCAGGCGGAUUUUUAAGUCAGCGGUAAAAUCGUGGGGCUCAACCCCAUCCAGCCGUUGAAACUGGGGAUCUAGAGUGUGCGAGAGGUAUGCGGAAUGCGUGGUGUAGCGGUGAAAUGCAUAGAUAUCACGCAGAACCCCGAUUGCGAAGGCAGCAUACCGGUGCACAACUGACGCUCAGGCACGAAAGCGUGGGUAUCGAACAGGAUUAGAUACCCCAGUAGUC